CGCAAGAGGGCAAUAUUACGUCGAUAGUGUUUGUAUUCAAGAAAUUUCGUCGAGUGCGGCCUUUAAGCUAACACCAAAUUACAAAUAAGUAAAAAAAAUGGCUGUGUUGUAUCAUUGCGCAGUUGAUCUUGUAGAAAAAGUAUUUUAUGGAAGACAUUUUCUAAACGGACAUUGAACUGCGUUUGGGACAUGAUGAGAGGCGGUCAUAAUGGUUCUUUUGGACAACCAAGUUGAUCAGAACUGGCACUGAGUCUCAGAUUUCCCCUCUGAGCGUAACACCUUGAGAGCCAACAGCCACUUUAAUAAAUCCAACUGGAACGCACCAAUGUAGUGGGGGAAGAAAAGAACCAGCGACAAAAAAGCAAGUGAAGACAAACCCCAGCUGAUGCUUAGGACAAAGACGGCAGAUGCUCCCUCAUUCAUAGUGUCCAGGUCCAUCUGCCCUUGUUUGAUGAGGCCAGUAUAACGGUGGGAAAGGAAAUGGAAAUUUGGGACAAAGCCCCCUUUUUUUCCAGGGGGACUAAUAUGUUGUGUGUCAACAUCAAGGCUUCGUUCACAGCGUUGUCUCUAUCUCAGGCAAUUGCACCCAUGGUGCAGUGCCUGAUAACAGGGCCCCAUGACGCAGCUCCAUAAUGAAGGCCAUUUCGACCACUCAUCCUGUGCUAAAUGGCUGUAUUACUGUGAUGGUCAUCAGUCCAGGAUUUGUUUGCACAAUGGUCAACACCGCUGCACUAACAUUCAUUAGCCGAGCAUUCAUAAACAUAUUUUAUUGCCACUUUUGGGAGAAAAUACUGGGUGAAAACAUAAAAAAGUAAAUAUUAGUAUGUUUUAAUAAUCAGAUUUUUUUUCCCUUUUACACAUUUGCCACUAUUUUCUAGCGAACAUGAAAUUCAUAGGAUUUUGGAUUUGUAGAAUGUAGGAACUUCCAUUUAUUUUUUCUUUUUGCUUGAAUAAGUUGUGACUCAAUUGUUGCUGUUUUGCAACCAUAUUAUUGCAAUAUUUAGAUUUUAAUGUAAGCAUCUACAGGGGCAGACUUAAACAAUAAGGAAGGUACGCAACCACUUAGGACCCCGACCAUUGCCAAGAAGCCUAAAUUAAUCAUAGCCCCUUUAUAAACUUUCUAUCAUGUGUUGUAAAUUCUGUCUAUAACUGUUAAGAUUUUAAUGUAAUCCUUUUCAAAACUAUGGACCCCAAUGAACAGUGGAACGUUCCUUCUGUACUGCACAUGCAAAUAUUAAAAUCCAAACACAAAUAUGGCCAAUUAGCUGUAUUUAAAUAGUUAACAAGUAACAAUUUACAUAGUUAGUUUGUGAACUUGUGAAUUUAUUGUAUUUAAUUUUACAUUGAGAAGAUAAAGGCUCCACUUAGUUAAAAAAAAAACAGAAUACAGGGAAAAAAAAUAUCUACAGAGAAAGAGUGUUUUGAGUUUCAAUGCUUGGGCCCCAUACCUUGAGUUGCUUAGGGCCCCCCAAGUCCAAGUGGUAAAGUCCACCCCUGAGCAUCUAGAAGGCAUACAGUUCAUUUAAAUGUUUUGUAAUUGUAUACACUCUCAGAAAUAAAGGUACGUGAGCUGCCAC
ensembl:lincRNA